rnacentral:rRNA from 1 species
UACGUAGGGUGCAAGCGUUAAUCGGAAUUACUGGGCGUAAAGCGUGCGCAGGCGGUUUUGUAAGUCUGACGUGAAAUCCCCGGGCUUAACCUGGGAAUUGCGUUGGAGACUGCAAGGCUAGAAUCUGGCAGAGGGGGGUAGAAUUCCACGUGUAGCAGUGAAAUGCUUAGAGAUGUGGAGGAACACCGAUGGCGAAGGCAGCCCCCUGGGUCAAGACUGACGCUCAUGCACGAAAGCGUGGGGAGCAAACAGG